rnacentral:rRNA from 1 species
UACAGAGGUCUCAAGCGUUGUUCGGAUUCAUUGGGCGUAAAGGGUGCGUAGGUGGCGCGUUAAGUCAGGUGUGAAAUUUCGGAGCUUAACUCCGAAACUGCAUUCGAUACUGCAGUGCUUGAGUACGAAAGAGGAUCGCGGAAUUCCCGGUGUAGAGGUGAAAUUCGUAGAUAUCGGGAGGAACACCAGUGGCGAAGGCGGCGAUCUGGGUCGAUACUGACGCUGAGGUGCGAAAGCGUGGGGAGCAAACAGG